AACGAACGCUGGCGGCAGGCUUAACACAUGCAAGUCGAGCGCCCCGCAAGGGGAGCGGCAGACGGGUGAGUAACGCGUGGGAAUCUACCCUUUUCUACGGAAUAACGCAGGGAAACUUGUGCUAAUACCGUAUGUGCCCUUCGGGGGGAAGAUUUAUCGGGAAAGGAUGAGCCCGCGUUGGAUUAGCUAGUUGGUGGGGUAAAGGCCUACCAAGGCGACGAUCCAUAGCUGGUCUGAGAGGAUGAUCAGCCACAUUGGGACUGAGACACGGCCCAAACUCCUACGGGAGGCAGCAGUGGGGAAUAUUGGACAAUGGGCGCAAGCCUGAUCCAGCCAUGCCGCGUGAGUGAUGAAGGCCCUAGGGUUGUAAAGCUCUUUCACCGGUGAAGAUAAGGACGGUAACCGGAGAAGAAGCCCCGGCUAACUUCGUGCCAGCCGCCGCCGUAAUAC
rnacentral:rRNA from 1 species